rnacentral:tRNA from 1 species
ACCAUUUGCCUUUGGUUCAGUGGUAGAAUGCUCGCCUGCCAUGCGGGCGCCCCGGGUUUGAUUCCCGGCCGAUGGUU